GUAAGGACACUUUUUAUGUGAUUCCCAUUUUUAGUGCGCAUGCGAUUUUCAACUAGGAAUGUGAUUGCCUUCAGCAAGUUGAAAUUGCAGAAAAAUCAUUCUAUAACUUUAUAAAAAUUCAAAUUUAUGAGCGCCUUUCCAAUCCACAACAUGACGGCGAAUCAUGUGACUUGAGACCUACUACAUCAAAGGUGCCGACGCUCGUGUCUAUACUGUAUGUACUUAUACUGUGGCUAUAGCCUUGCGAAACGAGAAAUAGAGAAACGACAGAGAGCUAAUUUUAGAGAGAGACUUUCAAACUGAGCACACCAUGUAAUCCUUUCACCAUGUGAUGUAAUGUAUAAAAAUUUUCAGUGUUAAGAGCA
rnacentral:lncRNA from 1 species